rnacentral:rRNA from 1 species
GACGAACGCUGGCGGCGCGUCUAAGACAUGCAAGUCGUACGAUUAAAGCCACCUUCGGGUGGUGUAUAAAGUGGCGGACGGGUGAGUAACACGUAGCUAACCUACCCUUUGGACCGGGAUAACGGUGCGAAAGCGCCGCUAAUACCGGAUACGCCUUUCUUUCUUCCCGAUUGAAAGUGAAAGCGGGCUUCGUUCCGCACCGAAGGAGGGGGCUGCGGCCUAUUAGCUUGUUGGUGAGGUAACGGCUCACCAAGGCAGCGAUGGGUAGCUGAUUUAAGAGGAUGAUCAGCCACACUGGGACUGAGACACGGCCCAGACUCCUACGGGAGGCAGCAGUUAAGAAUCUUGCACAAUGGGCGAAAGCCUGAUGCAGCGACGCCGCGUGAGCGAUGAAGGCCUUCGGGUUGUAAAGCUCUUUUCUGGGAGA